CACCAGAAACUGUACGACUUGAAGAAUAAAGGGGGUGGCUAGAACUCUACAAGUACCGGUGAAAUGGGUUGAUAUGUAGGGGAAUACCUAAAGCGAAAGCAGGCCACUGGGUAUUACUUGACACUGCUAGGACGAAAGCGUGGGGAGAGAAUGGGAUUAGAUACCCCAGUAUUCCACGCCCUAAACGAUGAGUGUUUACUUUUAGAGUCUGUCAAAUGACUUUGGAGGUAAAAGCUAACGCUAUAAACACUCCGCCUGUAGAGUACGGCCGCAAGGCUAAAACAUAAAGGAAUUGACGGGAACCCGCACAAGUAGUGGAUCAUGCGGCUUAAUUCGUAAGUAAGCGUGGAACCUCACCUAGGUUUGACAUGCUCUUGCAAGACUUUGGAAACUUAGUCCCUCUCUUCGGAGACUUUUGCACAGAUGAUGCACGGUCGUCGUCAGCUCGUGUCGUGAGAUGUUCGGUUAAGUCCGGUAACGAGCGCAACCCCAGUCCUUAGUUAUUUAAUGUCUAAGGAGACCGCCGAAGUUUAAUUCGGAGGAAGGAUGGGAUGACGUCAGAUCUGCGUGUCUCUUACAUCUAGGGCUGCACGCAUGAUACAAUGGGAAUGGUACAACGGGUUAUGCCAAAGAGCGAUCUGGAGCGAAUCCCCCAAAACCACCCUCAGUACGGAUUGGAGUCUGAAACUCGACUCCAUGAAGCUGGAAUUACUAGUAAUCGCUGAUCAGCCACGCAGCGGUGAAUACGUUCUCGGGUUUUGUACACACUGCCCGUCACGCCCUGGGAAUUGAAUGCGCCCCAAACCAUCAUGUACUUGGUGGAGAAGGUGAAGUCAUUGACUGGGUUGAAGUCGUAACAAGGUAACC
rnacentral:rRNA from 1 species